rnacentral:rRNA from 2 species
UGGGGAAUAUUGCACAAUGGGCGAAAGCCUGAUGCAGCGACGCCGCGUGAGCGAAGAAGUAUUUCGGUAUGUAAAGCUCUAUCAGCAGGGAAGAUAAUGACGGUACCUGACUAAGAAGCACCGGCUAAAUACGUGCCAGCAGCCGCGGUAAUACGUAUGGUGCAAGCGUUAUCCGGAUUUACUGGGUGUAAAGGGAGCGCAGGCGGUACGGCAAGUCUGAUGUGAAAGCCCGGGGCUCAACCCCGGUACUGCAUUGGAAACUGUCGAACUAGAGUGUCGGAGGGGUAAGCGGAAUUCCUAGUGUAGCGGUGAAAUGCGUAGAUAUUAGGAGGAACACCGGUGGCGAAGGCGGCUUACUGGACGAUAACUGACGCUGAGGCUCGAAAGCGUGGGGAGCAAACAGG